ACACGUGAUUCAGAGUUUGAUCCUGGCUCAGAACGAACGCUGGCGGCAGGCUUAACACAUGCAAGUCGAGCGCCCCGCAAGGGGAGCGGCAGACGGGUGAGUAACGCGUGGGAAUCUACCCUUUUCUACGGAAUAACGCAGGGAAACUUGUGCUAAUACCGUAUGUGUCCUUCGGGAGAAAGAUUUAUCGGGAAAGGAUGAGCCCGCGUUGGAUUAGCUAGUUGGUGGGGUAAUGGCUCACCAAGGCGACGAUCCGUAACUGGUCUGAGAGGAUGAUCAGUCACACUGGAACUGAGACACGGUCCAG
rnacentral:rRNA from 1 species